rnacentral:lncRNA from 1 species
UAAUACUCGUUUAACUUAAACGAUUUUCUCAAACACACAUUAAGUAAACAGAGAUAUUAAAAGAUUCCCCAUUUUUAAUACUCGUUUAACUCUAAUGGUUUUCAAAUUUCACAACAAAACCAACUCAAAACAUAUUAUCAAAUACGACGAACACAAAUCAACACAACAUAACAUAAUCAUACACAAAUGAGUUAAGUUCAUUUUCCACGAACACAAAUCAACACAACAUAACACUCAAACACAUCAAAUUUCAUUUACCCAUAAUCAUACACAAAUGAGUUAAGUUCAUUU